UACGUAGGGUCCGAGCGUUGUCCGGAAUUAUUGGGCGUAAAGAGCUCGUAGGCGGUCCGUUAAGUCGGAAGUGAAUCUCAAGGCUCAACCUUGAAUCGCUUCGAUACUGGCGGACUUGAGGCAGGUAGGGAAGGUGGAAUUCCUGGUGUAGCGGUGAAAUGCGCAGAUAUCAGGAGGAACACCGGUAGGCGAAGGCGGACCUUCCGUGGGCCGUGAGUUCG
rnacentral:rRNA from 1 species